AUUGAACGCUGGCGGCAUGCUUUACACAUGCAAGUCGAACGGUAACAGGCCGCAAGGUGCUGACGAGUGGCGAACGGGUGAGUAAUGCAUCGGAACGUGCCCAGUCGUGGGGGAUAACUACUCGAAAGAGUAGCUAAUACCGCAUACGAUCUAUGGAUGAAAGCGGGGGACCGUAAGGCCUCGCGCGAUUGGAGCGGCCGAUGUCAGAUUAGGUAGUUGGUGGGGUAAAGGCUCACCAAGCCAACGAUCUGUAGCUGGUUUGAGAGGACGACCAGCCACACUGGGACUGAGACACGGCCCAGACUCCUACGGGAGGCAGCAGUGGGGAAUUUUGGACAAUGGGCGCAAGCCUGAUCCAGCAAUGCCGCGUGCAGGAAGAAGGCC
rnacentral:rRNA from 1 species